rnacentral:rRNA from 1 species
UACGUAGGGGGCUAGCGUUGUCCGGAAUCAUUGGGCGUAAAGAGCGUGUAGGCGGUCCGGUAAGUCCGCUGUGAAAGUCGGGGGCUCAACCCUCGAAUGCCGGUGGAUACUGUCGGACUAGAGUACGGAAGAGGCGAGUGGAAUUCCCGGUGUAGCGGUGAAAUGCGCAGAUAUCGGGAGGAACACCAAUUGCGAAGGCAGCUCGCUGGGACGUCACUGACGCUGAGACGCGAAAGCGUGGGGAGCAAACAGG